CGGCGUGCCUAACACAUGCAAGUCGUACGAGAAAGUUGGCUUCGGCCGAUGAGUACAGUGGCGCACGGGUGAGUAACGCGUGGAUAAUCUGCCCUUAAGUGUGGAAUAACGUACCGAAAGGUGCGCUAAUACCGCAUAAUGCCUGGCAACAUAAGUUGUCCGGCCAAAGAAGGCCUCUGCCUGCAAGCUUUCGCUAAAGGAUGAGUCCGCGUACCAUUAGCUAGUUGGUGGGGUAACGGCCUACCAAGGCGACGAUGGUUAGCUGGUCUGAGAGGAUGAUCAGCCACACUGGAACUGAGACACGGUCCAGACUCCUACGGGAGGCAGCAGUGAGGAAUAUUGCGCAAUGGGGGCAACCCUGACGCAGCAACGCCGCGUGAGUGAGGAAGGUUUUCGGACUGUAAAGCUCUGUCGAGCGGGAAGAAGUGUACCAUGGCUAAUAUCCAUGAUAUUUGACGGUACCGCUAGAGGAAGCACCGGCUAACUCCGUG
rnacentral:rRNA from 1 species